rnacentral:rRNA from 1 species
GACGAACGCUGGCGGCGUGCUUAACACAUGCAAGUCGAACGGAAAGGCCCUGCUUUUGUGGGGUGCUCGAGGGGCGAACGGGUGAGUAACACGUGAGUAACCUGCCCUUGACUUUGGGAUAACUUCAGGAAACUUGGGCUAAUACCGGAUAGGAGCUCCUGCUGCAUGGUGGGGGUUGGAAAGUUUCGGCGGUUGGGGAUGGACUCGCGGCUUAUCAGCUUGUUGGUGUGGUAGUGGAUUGCCAAGGCUUUGACGGGUAGCGGGCCUGAGAGGGUGACCGGCCACAUUGGGUCUGAGCUACGGCACAGACCCCAACGCGAGGCAGCGGUGGGGAAGAGUGCAUAACGGGCGGAAGCCUGACGCAGCAACGCCGCGUGCGGGAUGACGGGCUUCGGGUUGUAAACCGCUUUUGUCUGUCACGAAGCGUUAGUGACGGUAACGGGUAAAGAAGCCCCGGCUAACUACGUG